ACUCCUACGGGAGGCAGCAGUGGGGAAUAUUGCACAAUGGGCGAAAGCCUGAUGCAGCAACGCCGCGUGCGGGAAGAAGGCCUAGGGUUGUAAACCGCUUUCAGCAGGGAAGAAAAUGACGGUACCUGCAGAAGAAGGUGCGGCCAACUACGUGCCAGCAGCCGCGGUGACACGUAGGCACCAAGCGUUGUCCGGAUUUAUUGGGCGUAAAGAGCUCGUAGGCGGUUCAGUAAGUCGGGUGUGAAAACUC
rnacentral:rRNA from 1 species